rnacentral:lncRNA from 1 species
CCAAGAAAGGUGGUCCAACUUGAGGGAGUCAAGAUCGUCAUCAUCUAGCUCAAGUGGACCAUGUGCAAGGCAAAGAUUUGCUCUUGAUAGGUUUUCUAUUUUACCGGUCUCAUGAUGGUAGGUGGGAGACCGGGUUAUAGGAUCGAUUGCCGUACUAUCAAUGGGGGGCUCUCGAUGAGUAACUUGAUCGUAUCGUUCAUAGAGAGCUCAAACCAUUGCAUCCUUGCAUCAUCUUUAUUGGUUCUUGUUUGGUUUUUCUCUUUGUGAGUUUUGGAGCUUAUGGUCAUCUUGAUGACAAGCUCGAGUUCAUCGAAAACGGAGUUCACUCGCAUCUUCUAUGAUGUUUUCGAUGUUGGAGGUUAUGCCGGUUCUUCUCGGUUGGAGGUUUCACUCCUCUAUUUGUUGGCAUACCUCCCCUGCCUCUUCUUACUAUAACCAGUCGCUGUUUUGAUGCUACUCAUCUUCCUCUAUCCAACAAGCUUGAGUUUGAUCAAUUCGGAGCUCAUAUGCAGAAGUUAUGGCAGUUUUGGUUUCCUAGCGGUAGUACCGCGGGCCGGAGCGGUAGUACCGCUUGGGUGCUACAAGCGGUAGUACCGCUUUAGAGCGGUAGUACCGCUGCGGUCUCAUGCUAGUACCGCCUCGAUUCGAGGGGUCUUUUUUCGUGUCGGGUUUUACGGUACUGGCCACAGCAGUGGGGGCCGUUGUACCGCUCGUAUGCGGUAGUACCGCCCUGCCACCGCGGUAGUACCACUCUGGGCCCAGCGGCAGUACCGCGAGGGGGAGCGGUAGUACCGCUUAUAGGGGCAAGCGGUAGUACCGCUGGCCAAGCGGUAGUACCGCUGGCCAAGCGGUAGUACCGCUCUCUGCGGGGCUGAAGUGGGGGUAACGGUUGGAUUGUUCCCCCCACUAUAUAAGGGGGUCUUCUUCCCCAUUCUACUUUAUCUCUUGAGCUCGUGUUCUUCCCCCAUUGUUGACCUUCUUCGAGCUUGCUAACUCUCAAUCCCUCCAUGGAUUCUUGCUAGUUUUUGAGGGAAAAGAGAGAGGACAUCUAGAUCCACAUUUCCACCAAUCACUUUCUCCUCUAUGUGAGGAGAACCCAUUGGAUCUAGAUCUUGGAGUUCUUGGUGUUCUCCUUCUUGUUAUUCCUCUCAUUUUCCUCCCAAGCAUUAGUUGCUUCGGUGGGAUUUGAGAGAGAAGGACUUGGGCACUUGCGUGUGCCCUUGCCAUUGCAUUUGGUGCAUCGGUUUGAGUUCUCCACGGUGAUACGUGGAAGUUACAAGUUGAGAAGCUUAUUACUCUUGGGUGCUUGGUGCCCUUGAGCUUAUUACUCUUGGGUGCUUGGUGCCCUUGAGCUUGUUCCUCUUGGGUGCUUGGGCGCCCUAGACGGUUGGUGGUGUUCGGAGCUCGAUCAUUGUGGUGUAAAGCUCCGGGCAAGCGUCGGGGUCUCCAAUUAGGUUGUGGAGAUCGCCCCGAGCAAUUUGACGGGUUCCGGUGACCGCCCCCAAGGGUUGCCAAAGUGUACGGGUUCGGUGACCGCCCCCAAGGGUUGCCAUUUGUACGGGUUCGGUGACCGCCCUCAAGGGUCCCUUAGUGGAAUCACGGCAUCUUGCAUUGUGCGAGGGCGUGAGGAGAUUACGGUGGCCCUAGUGGCUUCUUGGGGAGCAUUGUGCCUCCACACCGCUCCAAACGGAGAUUAGCAUCCGCAAGGGUGUGAACUUCGGGAUACAUCGUCGUCUCCGCGUGUCUCGGUUAUCUCUUACCCGAACCCUUUACUUAUGCACUUUACUUUGUGAUAGCCAUAUUGUUUCUUGUCAUAUAUCUUGCUAUCACUUAGUUCUUUAUCUUGCUUAGCAUAAGUUGUUGGUGCAUAUAGGUGAGCCUAGUUGUUGUAGGUUUUGUGCUUGUCAAAUUAACCGCUAGGUUUAUUCCGCAUUUGUUCAAGCCAACAGUAAUUAUUUUAAAGCGCCUAUUCACCCCCCCCCUCUAGGCGACAUCCACGAUCUUUCAGGUGCGAUGGGAGCGGUUUUGCGAGACGACAAAGGUAGGUUUAUUGCAGGAGGAAAUGGAAAGAUUGACCAUUGCGUGGAUGUUUUGAUGGCAGAAGCUUUAGCCCUCAAAUUUGGACUAACACUAGCGCAAAGGGCAGGGUGCAAUCGCCUAAUCAUCAAAUCAGAUAAUCUAGAGGUGAUUGAGACCAUGCAGGACGGAGGACAGUCAACGGGUGCGGUGGCGGCAAUUUUCGAUGACUGCUUCCACUAUGCAUGUGAUUUCAUCAUGACUAGAUUCGAACAUUGUAAUAGAGAGGCAAAUAGAGUAGCACAUGAACUUGCUAGAUUAGCUAGAUUUUCUUCAAGUUUGGAUUGGUUCGAGGAGCCUAUCAAUAAAAUUGUACUCAUCCUCACAAACGAUGUAUUGGUUAUUUCUAAUGAAUAAAGUUUCGUUUUAUUUCAAAAAAAACACACACACACACAACACACUUAAACGCAUGCACACAACACUUUCGCAAGUCGUUGGGCUACUUAGACAACACGAGGUCGAGGCGCGACGUUGUAUUGUCUCAGUUCUUCGUCGGUGUCGCCAUCCUUCUGGGUGGUGCACGUCCUCAGCGCCGUCACCAUCAUGGGUUUCGUUUACGUGUCGCCGGUGGCAUGGCGAAGCUGCGGGGCAAGGUCUAGAUGUGUGAACCUUCGUCGUGCUCAUCAUGGUGUCCAUGUUGUCGAGCUAAGGCCUGUGCAGCUGCACGUGCAUGCCGGUGAAAGGGAACAUGGCCAUGUUUAAGCGAGCACACCGGUCUCAACUGCUUGUGCCGAGAUGCUGGUCAAGAAUGUAAGACGAGAUAGCACGAGAGAGACUGCAACUAUUUUCAACUGUAUUCAUUCACCAUGCUCAACUAUAUUCACCAUCGUCGCACGAGAGAAUGUACAGGGAUGAUGAGCACGUAGAGUGCGGCCACUACGCUAACAACCUCCCUAUCUAACUCAUCUAGAUAAGAUCAUGCAAUCAUGUACGUGAGACUAGAUCUAGUGGUUACAAUUUCUCUAAAAAAGGUCUAGUGGUUACAGGGAGAGAGCUACGUGAAUGAAUCUUACGCUGGUGCAGCUGGUCUUCUAGGGGUAUACCAACAGAGAACACGCUAUUCCUCGCUGUUGGCUGCGUGCAUAGCCUGCGCGUGGAGCUCAAGAAGUGAAGAAGAUGAUGACAGGGGGCAGGGAGCUAAGAGGAUACUAGUACAUGCUUCCAGCUUGGAGCUGCUGUUGGCUCAGUCCGUAUUGUCCAGUACUUUUCGACGACACAUGACGAACGGCGACGAACGAGAGACACCAUAGUAUGCAAAGCUAGCUUGUACUAGCUAGUCUGCUCCCAAUCGAUCGUUUCACAAGCAAUACCAAAAACACACACGUGGCGAGCCGCCGGAAAACAAACACACGCACGCGAUAUUUGGAUAGCCACAUGAACGUGUCGUUCCUGUUUAUCUUUAUCUGCUUCACAUCUCGAUGCAAGUUUUUAAAAGGGGAUAUACUACAAGCUAAGCCAACUAGUACGUCUCCUACACGAUGAUGAUUUAGAAACCUAUACGGACACGGCAACUACUCGUGUACUGAACCGGACAAGAUGUCCACAUCGUGUUUAACUCUGACGGCUGCGCAAUGCAUGCGGCUAUGCUGGCCGGACUCGUCGGGAUGCAGGUGGCGAUGGCGUGCGGCAUGGAGUGGAGCGGCACGCCCUGGGAAUGCGUCCGCGUGGGAGAAGAUGGCGAACGUCCUAUAUACGUACAGUAGGUAGCAUGCAGAGGGAGCUACGACACUAACAAAACUAAUCGCUCAAAUUGUGCACACAAAGAUCCUGCGAUUAACUGGCUAGAAGGCAUAGUGAUUUAUUUAUUUAUUUGCUGAAAGGUGGGACCCAUGCAAAAGGGUUCUGUGGCGUUUGACCGGUCAAUAUAGUGAAAUACGGAGCAAUACGGUGAGUCAGUGACCGUAGAAUCAUCUCAAGUUGUAUAUGGUGACCGUAUUGACCGUAUUCUUAAAUACAGUGACCAAAAUGAGUUUGUGGUACAAGUUCAGUAACCACGAAUGCAUUUCACUCAAAAAAAACCCUCGUCGAAACUUGUUUGUAAAUUUUUUUGUGGAAACGCGUUAAACGCCCGUAGGCUGGCCAGCUGUGAGCCUGCCACCUUCAGACCCGCUAACCCGCGACUCCGGCCAAUAAAUAGCCCUCCACCCCUACGCCUUUCCCCACCACCAACAAAGAUCUUCUCCUCUCUUACUCUAGCCCUCGCCGCCGCCACAGAUCACACCUCCUCGUACGUCGCUAGUCGCUGCCACCAACCGAAGCGAUGGCCGCCUCCAACGUCGCAUCCAAGGCCCUGGCCGUCGCCGCCAUCCUGUCGGUCGCCGCCUUCUCCGUCGUCUCCGCCCAGGAGGCCCCGGCGCCCAGCCCCGUGUCCGCCGCCGGCGUCGCGACGCCGUCCCUCGCCGCUGCGCUCGUCGCCUCCGGUGCCGCCUUCCUCUUCGCCGCCGUCCGCCACUGAAGAGACUGCCUCCGUCUUCCCCGUCGAUGGCUCACCUACCUAGUACAACCACAUAUAGAUCCAUUUAUUUGUCAUUAGCGAUUUGUUCGUUCGUGUCAUUUUGCCCAGAUCUGCUACUGUCUGUCACUCGGUGAUGGUGAUUAGUAUCUCCUUAUUAGUAGAGAUUGUACCCGUGUGCUUGUAGAUACUAUUUAUCCGGUUUGAUCUAGUACUCAUAUGAUCGCUCCAUUUAGUUUUGAUGAUGCUUGCUGUCUCCCCUGUUUUUUCGUGCUUAUUUCCAGUCUCGCGGUGUAACCCUUUUCGAUGAAAUAGUCAGUUGUGAUUCCGAAAUUUUGAUGCUCGUGGGUGCCGUGAAUCUAUUUUUCCAUGAUCUGGUGCCACCGUAUUUUGCUUGUUAUUGUACUUUCUCUCCUCGAUUUACUAUAACGUGCAAUAGGUGUGAACCUAGAUUUAAUAUAACUAGCCAUUUGAAUUGGUGCGCCACUUACCAUUCACAUUGUGACACUUUCACUGGAAAAAUAAGGCCAACUCGACCCGAACGGACUCGGUUUUUGUCAGACGAACAAUGUCCGAUUUCGUCCGCGGCCGUGCGCCCAACGCAGAGAGACGCAUUUGACAUCUAGGUGUGGAUUGAUAGCAGGGUCGUCAGGUCCAUUUAGUUUUGAUGAUGCUUGCACAUCUAUAAAGAUCUUAUACCUUUCCUACUUAUUCACCUCUUUGAUUGAAAAAACGUCCGUCCAUGUGGCGGACAUUUUACUUGUUGCACCAUCACGCACGAUCAUGUCCUUCUGCCACUUGUUUCAAUCAUCUCUUUGGCACGGUGGCUUGUAUGUCCAGCAUGGUGCAACUGACCACCAUGGUCAAGAUCCCCACAUUCCGUUGAGGCAUCAUCCAUGUGGCAGACAUGGUAGUACAUUUAUGACGGCGAGCGAGCAUGGCGGCGGGCAGCGGGAGGAGUGCGGUCAAUUUGGUGGAUUAGUCAAUAUUUGGAGGUUGAUUUUGGAUGGGUUCGGUAUGUCGUACCCAUAUCCCCCAGAUAUGGACGUCAGCCGGAACGUUUGGGCUGAGUUUGUUAGGUCCGGUUGGGUGAGAAAUUUCGGUCCGAGCAGGCGGUCCGGCCGUUUGGGACGGAUAUAGAAGCUCAAGUUGUAGAUGCUCUUAUGCAGUUUAUUUUUUUAUAACAAAUAAUGGGGUAUAAAUCAAAGAGCUACGUUUGGGAUGGAUAUAGGAGCUCCUGUUGUAGAUGCUCUUAUAUGCAGUUUACUCUUUUAUAACAACUAAUGGGGUAUCAAUCAAAAGAGAAUAAAUCAAAUUGGUUGUGACAAGGUCGCAUAUAUACACCAGGCAUCAACGGGGCGAGGAUUUGCAGCACGCAGGUGAGGGGCACUCAUGCCCCUGGUGUCGGCUUUUCUUUUUGGUUUUUUUAUUUCAAAGUCCUAAAUCUUUUAAACAAAAUUUCAAAUUGAGUUGUGUUUUCAUAUUUGUGUUUCUCGUGACUAGCUCUUUGAAAUAAGAUUCAUUUAAAAUAUAUUUUGACGACUUUAAAAAAAUAUGUCGUUUCAAUAUUGAAACGUAGUACGAGCGACUAAUAAAAAUCAAUUAUUUUGUGUCUAGGACCAAUAGGAAAAAUUGCUUAAAAAAUAUAUCUCCAAAACUUGUUGAAACUUUGCAUUUUUAGAUGCAAAAACCAUAAGUGUCGUCAUCAAAACUUAAAUAUUUUUGUGGGAUUUUCUUUUUACCGUGUCCUCAUGCGGGAUUCAACUAGAUCACGAGGCAAAUUGAACGAGCGGCAGGGCUCGGCAGGUGAGUGCCCCUGCGAAUUUCCGAGCAUCAACGUCCAUGGUUCAUGGGUAGAGAAAGAAAGGAAGAUGCUAUGUUCCAAACGAAAGUUCCCGUUCCAAACGGCAUUGGAUGUUGGUAUUUUGUAGUGCUUGAUAGCGAAUCCUAAUACAAAUGUGAUGUGACAGUCAAGAUACACGCUGUCCCUAAUAAUGGAGAAGAAAAGAACUACAUAUGAUUUCAGUCGAAUCUUUGAAGGUCUAGAAUUCCUGUAGCUUAACUUGGCAAGAAUUUAUAUCUCUGAGGACGCGGCAGCCAUGUUGCAAAGUGUAGAGAGAAGCAGCGAAGCAUGCCAAUUGAGACAAUUGACACAUCGUUGUCCAGCACCAACCACCUACCGCCUCUCCACUUCUCCGGCUGUUGAAUUGAUCUUUAAAGCAAGUAUAAUAAGGUGACGUAGGCAGACGGUAAGACUUUAAAUAUUAUAUCUUUGCUGAAUUGGAUGAGGGAGAAGAGGAUAGAGAAGAGAAGCGGGUUGUAGAUUUACAGCCGGCUGUAGCAUCAUUCAAGAAGCUAUGUGAGAGUGUAUGGUGGGCCAUAUGAUACAAAGUAGUACUUUUUUGUAGCCUCCCUACUACUAUACAUGUUGAUUAUUAUAAUGGCUAUAGAUGACAUGGCAACAUGUUAUAGUCAUCAAUCAGCUAUAUUAUUAACCAUGCUCUUAAAAUUCCGCUUAAGGAAACCGAGAAUUCCACCCAAAAAACGAAAUUUGAAACGCGGUUCAGCUUGAUCAAGCCAGUUGUGGCUGGAAUAUACUGCCUGGCCCUUCCUCUUCCCUCCCCUCAUUCCGUAUUAUAACGGCCCCUCUCUUUGCUGCAUCUCCCUCCAUCUCCAUUGCUCGACGCCUCAAAAACCCUAACUAGACCUUCAUCCCACUUUACCUCCGGGAAUCAACCUAGAUCGAUGGCCAGGGUUCCCUCCGCCGUGGUCGCCUUGGCGAUCUCCGUGGCCUUGGCCGUGUUCAUCGGCGUUGCCUCCGCCGCCGAGGUGCCUGCCUCCGCCCCAGCCCCGGUCUCCAGCGCGUUGGCGACUGCAGUCUCAGCACCUCUCUCCGCCUGCUGUGCCACCGUGCUCCUCCUCGCCUUCCCCCGCCACUGAGACGCACGUGUCGUUGUCAGAUCUACCGGUAUGCUAGUUGUAGUGGAGCUAGCUUGAUGGUUCGGAGGCGUGUUUCGACUUUGUGUGAGGAUUUGGUUUCGUGUUAGCUGAGGAUUUGAGAGGUUUCUACCAUAUAAUUUUAUAUUGGCCAUGUACGUACUUUACUUAUUAGCCUGAUCAUUACGGACUUAUGAUAUUAUUACGGUUGUCACAAUUAUGCUCGCUCAGCUAUCAUCUGUGUGUUAAAGAUUACUCUGGUUGUGUUAUACAACAUGUUUGCUGAUCCGUUAUAAUUGUGACGAUAUCAAUCAAUCAAACAGAUAUAAAAAGAAGCAGGCUUGUUCAGAACGGUAAUCUCCAGCCCAUUGUGCUGUCGAGUUUCCAUGGUUCCGGAUCGCUCGCGGUCGGUUUCUUGUUUGUGGCAUGUUUGGUGUCCCACCCCGACACGAAAGGGAAAGCGUGAGGAUCUCCAUCUCCAUGCCGGUUUUUUUCUGCCAAGGCAACAAAAAGACAGGACCAACUUCACGAGCAGUCACACGUUGUACGUGUGACUUUGAGUGGCGGUCCCUGUUUCUUUCACAUGGGUAGCAGUUGGGGUUCGGCCUUCGCUCGCAACUCAAUAAUGAAUGUCGUGAAACAGAAAAGCUUGGCGUGCAACAACGUUUACCUACUGUCUUUGGUUCUUACCCCAAACAAUCCUAGUCAAUAUGCAGCCACACUAUGCACGCAGAGGAAACAGAAAUGAAAAACUGGAUUCACGACGCUUGUUAAGCGAUCGGGGCUCGGGGCUCACGCACAGCCUGCCUCUGAUCCUUCUCCAACGACCACAGCGGGCCGAUGCUUUCAAGCCACAGCCACAGGUGUCCAACUGUCAAGCCAGAACGCCAGUAAUAACCAGACUUAUAUGCUCCUCAAACCCUUGUUUCAACCGUUUCUUUUUUCUUUUUGCUGGAAUAUAUUUUCGACCAUUUCUUGCUACUAAAGGAUGGAAUCAUGCUAUAAAAUUCCUGUCUGUCCCAACUCUUAACAACCCAAUACAUUCAUCAUCCACGGGGUGUUUUAUUUUGUCUCACCACUGCACUCAAAGAUUACACAUAGACCCGGAUAAGUGCAGAUGCGAAAACGAACGAGACCUACCACAUAAACACAUGUUCGCAGUGCUUCAAUGCCGUCACAAGGUCAUCUGCUCGCUUGGAAUGCGCUGAAAUCAGGAAAUUAUGUACAAACAGUUGCAUAAUCACCUGGCGAUACAAAGGUCCUCGUCCAACAAGUUAGCUUUUUUCUGCCAAGGCAACAAAAAGACAGGACCAACUUCACGAGCAGUCACACGCUGUACGUGUGACUUUGAGUGGCGGUCCCUGUUUCUUUCACAUGGGCAGCAGUUGGGAUUCGGCCUUCGCUCGCAACUCAAUAAUGAAUGUCGUGAAACAGAAAAGCUUGGCAUGCAACAACGUUUACCUACUGUCUUUGGUUCUUACCCUAAACAAUCCUAGUCAAUAUGCAGCCACACUAUGCACGCAGAGGAAACAGAAAUGAAAAACUAGAUUCACGACGCUUGUUAAGCGAUCGAGGCUCGGGGCUCACGCACAGCCUGCCUCUGAUCCUUCUCCAACGACCACAGCGGGCCGAUGCUUUCAAGCCACAGCCACAGGUGUCCAACUGUCAAGCCAGAACGCUAGUAAUAACCAGACUUAUAUGCUCCUCAAACCCUUGUUUCAACCGUUUCUUUUUUCUUUUUGCUGGAAUAUAUUUUCGACCAUUUCUUGCUACUAAAGGAUGGAAUCAUGCUAUAAAAUUCCUGUCUGUCCCAACUCUUAACAACCCAAUACAUUCAUCAUCCACGGGGUGUUUUAUUUUGUCUCACCACUGCACUCAAAGAUUACACAUAGACCCGGAUAAGUGCAGAUGCGAAAACGAACGAGACCUACCACAGAAACACAUGUUCGCAGUGCUUCAAUGCCGUCACAAGGUCAUCUGCUCGCUUGGAAUGCGCUGAAAUCAGGAAAUUAUGUACAAACAGUUGCAUAAUCACCUGGCGAUACAAAGGUCCUCGUCCAACAAGUCAGCUUUUUUCUGCCAAGGCAACAAAAAGACAUGACCAACUUCACGAGCAGUCACACGCUGUACGUGUGACUUUGAGUGGCGGUCCCUGUUUCUUUCACAUGGGCAGCAGUUGGGGUUCGGCCUUCGCUCGCAACUCAAUAAUGAAUGUCGUGAAGCAGAAAAGCUUGGCGUGCAACAACGUUUACCUACUGUCUUUGGUUCUUACCCUAAACAAUCCUAGUCAAUAUGCAGCCACACUAUGCACGCAGAGGAAACAGAAAUGAAAAACUGGAUUCACGACGCUUGUUAAGCGAUCGGGGCUCGGGGCUCACGCACAGCCUGCCUCUGAUCCUUCUCCAACAACCACAGCGGGCCGAUGCUUUCAAGCCACAGCCACAGGUGUCCAACUGUCAAGCCAGAACGCCAGUAAUAACCAGACUUAUAUGCUCCUCAAACCCUUGUUUCAACCGUUUCUUUUUUCUUUUUGCUGGAAUAUAUUUUCGACCAUUUCUUGCUACUAAAGGAUGGAAUCAUGCUAUAAAAUUCCUGUCUGUCCCAACUCUUAACAACCCAAUACAUUCAUCAUCCACGGGGUGUUUUAUUUUGUCUCACCACUGCACUUAAAGAUUACACAUAGACCCGGAUAAGUGCAGAUGCGAAAACGAACGAGACCUACCACAGAAACACAUGUUCGCAGUGCUUCAAUGCCGUCACAAGGUCAUCUGCUCGCUUGGAAUGCGCUGAAAUCAGGAAAUUAUGUACAAACAGUUGCAUAAUCACCUGGCGAUACAGAGGUCCUCGUCCCUUUUUAACCAACAAUUGCUGUGCACGUCCUUGUCCUUCCACCGUUUCAUUCAACAUGGACACCAUCUACAGCUCGUCGCGAGGUUCCACCUUAGCAGCGGUAGCGGGCUGGUGCUCAAGCAGAUAGCGAGCAGCCAACGAUGCUUGCAUGGCUGCACCGUAGGGCAGUGCAUCCUCGUUGAUGGUGAAGUAGGGGGAGUGAUGAGGCGCCUGCGGUCCACGAGUCUCGUUGAGCAUCCCCACAAAGUAGUAGUAUGUCUUGGGAACGGCCUCGGUGUAGAAGGAGAAGUCCUCGGCACCCAUCAGUGGCUGCUUCUCUCUCACGUUGUUGGGGCCAACCAUCUCACUGCACACCUUCGCAAAGAAAUCGUGAAGCUCAGGAUUGUUGAUUGUUGGAGGGAAGAAAGGCUUAUCUUUGUCAAGGAAGUCCACAACUGCGCUGCAGCGCUGGACAGAUGCCUGUGUGACUAUGACCUGAGACCAAAAAAAAAAACUUUUGAAGUUAAACAAACGAAAUUUAACUACAGAUCCUUGAGUCUGUAUAUCCUUUUUUAGCGAUACCAGCUUUGACCGUUCAUGAUAAAAUAAGCAGCAAGAAGCACUACCUUUCUACAAAACCCAAAUUGUGCAACACUGCAACUUUCAUAAUUUAAAGUAGUACUACAGAAUAAUAAUCAGGCAACAGAAUGACCACCAGGCUCGUUUGGUUAUGAUUAUCCUUGUUCGUAGUGCGAAAUUGACAUAGGCGGCUACAGGCCGAGCUGCUGUAACACUUUGUAUAAAUAGUACUGUUAAAUCAUUUUACUUCUAUAAAUAGUACAAUCGACAGCGGCAGUCUGUUCACCUCGAACUACACCAACCAUCAGAUAUGCAUUAAACAAUAUUCCUUGAUUCUACAUUCUUUUUUCUUUAUCUCGACUCUUCUAGAGAUGUCAAUUUUCAGCACUGUAGUAAGUCAAUUUGCAAAAGUUAAUGCUAACACUUCCCUUCAUUUAUCAGGACUUCCUAUUAUUUGGAGGCGUUGAUGUAUUGUAACAUGUUUCAAGUAAUCUUUCAACAAAAUUUAUUGAGGUCUCCUACCAACACAUGGGCUUAUGCCUUGGUUAGCUUCGAUUCAGGUAGUGUGACUUCUCGACUUGCCAUUUUGAUAGUAAGCAUAACUAUAAUUUUGUUACAAAGGAAUUCAAGCACCAACCAUACUCCUUUAAGUCAGUUUUGUUUCUUCAUCUUUCCAAGAGCAAAUCAUACGGAACUUAAUGACACAUAAACAACACACAAUUCCCAAGUUAUAAUGUUGUUACCCUCGUUGUUACCUCUUCAAUUCGCUGCUUCAAUUGAUUAAAACUCUCCUUCAUAAAGGCUCGGAAGGUACCACCUAUUGUCACUGAAUCAGGGAUAACAUUGAAGGCUCCACCACCUUGAAACUUUCCAACCGUUACUACCUGCAGAAUAAAGCCAAUAAAAAGGAGGGUAAUGAGAUGUUGUGGUACACAGGAAUGACUACGGGCGAAUGGGACCCCAAAAACGAUAUGGCAAUGCUAAAGGAAUGACUAGGACUAUCACCAUUUAUCAUAUUAUCUAUAGCCUAAAGGCAGCCGACUGGAAGAACAUAUGAAACAUGACAAGGGGAACAUUUUAUAAAGACGAUCCAUAUAAUAGGUCUGUAAUGUGCAGAAACUCAUUUCAUCUAUGAAAUCAUAAUGCUAGACAGACAGUUCAGGAGUGUAAGUCAAAAAACUUGUGAAUUCAGAUACUAGAUAACAAAGAAAUCUUUGUAGUUACGAUCAUAAUUCUGGGAAUAUUAGGAGUAGACAGCUUCCAUGUUAGGAUGUGAUUAGUUAGCCUGCAGUAAAUCAGAACAAAUAACAAUUUUAAUAGGUACGGGCAUGUUAAUCCUCAGGAUCCUGACAAGUUUUGAGUAUCAAAAAAUGGGUCAAAAUGAUCUAUGCAAACUCCACAAAAUGAGCUAUCUAAAUCACAUAGCCAUGAUAAAGAAAACUAUGUAAGUCAUAUAUAAAAAAGGAGCAGUCAUUAAAUAAAUCAAGUAGCUCAAGGAUUGAAUAGCACCUGUGAGUCCAAGGGGUCAGCUUCUCGGGAAACAAGUUGCUGAAGGCUUACAAUAACAUUGGAUGCAGCCAGUAUUGGAUCAAUAGUGUGAUGAGGAAGUGCAGCAUGCCCUCCCUUUCCACUUAUUACUGCCUCAAAGAAUCCACUCCCUGCCAUUAUAGGCCCAGGUCUGGAUGCCAGCACACCAAUCGGCACACUGUCAGCUACAUGAAGUCCAAACAUGACCUCUAUGUUUUCCACAGCUCCGGCUUCUACCAUUUUCUUGGCUCCACCACCACCUUCCUCAGCUGGUUGGAAAAGAAGGGCUACAGUACCCUACGGUAAAAAAAAACAUGGCAUUUGUAACAUCAGAUUUUGCAGGUAAAUAAAGUUUGAUGCCUGCAAAAUAGGAUUUUUUUUUGGCCAAGGAUUGUGAGAUCUUGACAUAAUUGAUAUAUAGGCAGCCACAUGGUUCAGUUUGUACAUAACUGAUCUGAGGGGAAGUGGGGACCAAACUAUCCUUUGACUAGCUGUAUAUGUCUGAACAAAGCUGCAUGAUCAAUUAUUGGAGAACCGAAUGCACAUGUGCAUUACAUAUGUAUUCAUAUUACUGCUAAUGUGAAGGUUGAUUUGAAAUAUGCAACAGUGAAUCACUAACAUUGUGCAUCUCUUGAGAAUUAGUGUUGAGGAAAAAGAAACAAAAAUCAUUGCACUUGCCCUUUGGCAAAAUCUCCAAGUAGUUCACGAAACAUCGGUGUUGGAGUGGACAUAGGGAAUACCAAAAUCGCCUAUAUUUUAAUCAAACAAAAACCUCAUUUACCAUGACCAGCAUUAAGAAUCAGGUAGUUUCUGAACCAUAAAAGUUGAUAUAUACCACCAAAAGUAAUCCAUCACCACUCUACGACAUGAACAUCGAUUUUUUAUAAUUUAGUUCCGUCAUUUUAAUCCAGUAAACAGAUGAUUUGGACAAGAAAUGAAAGAAGGAGAAGUAUGAAAAUAAAGCACAUGGAGUGUUGAGAUAUACUGAUCUUAUGAUUACAGUUUCAUUUAUUUAUUUAUUUGCAAGGUUACUACCUUUUAAACUCAAAGCAACAAUAAAAUGAUGAACCUAUAGUUAACUGUCAACCUUCAAGCACCUUUUCAGCGUUAAAAGAGAAAAUCAAAUCGUCUUGCUGCUUUUCAUUGUAAACUGAGAAAAUUACAACGCUUUACAAUUCAGAAAGAGCUUCUUUACUAACCUUCAACUCGUCACGGUGCUCCUGAAGAAUCUUAGCAGAACCCAAUAGCAUAGCAACAUGUGCAUCAUGGCCACAUCCAUGCAUCUUCCCAGGCACUUUGCUCUUAUGUUCCCAUUCCACGCUUUCCUGAAGAAGACACAUAAGGGUAUCAUAAGUAACAUGAUCCUUGAAAUAGACAAAGUGAUAGCCAGAUACAGCCUAAUCAUACUUCAGUGUGGGCAGAGAAUACUUACAAUGCUUAAAUUAGCACCAACAAGUAAUUCAAAUAAACACAACAAAUGCCCAGUAACUGGGAAUAGCAAUUAUGCUAUCCACUUCAAGAAAAUGCAUAUACUAAUUGCUCCCAAAAUUUAUUAUCUAUUUGUAUACCAAUAUGGCAUAAUUGUCUCAUCGCCACACAAGACAAGCUUGAAGCUUAGCUUUACUGUUAUAUACGUGCAUAUAGGCUAAUCACAUGUUUCAUUCCCACAAUAAGCAUAAACCUACUAUCGUAUGAUCCUGGUCAAAAGUCUAGGGAACUAGCUAUGACUAGGACUGCUAGUGUAUGUCCCUCUUUUUAAUAAGGAAAGGAGUGUUUGCCUCAAGCCAUCUGUCCAGACUCAGAAGUUUAAGUGUACCGAGACCUGAUAAGCAUUAGCUUGCAUUUCCCCACGGUCAAUUUCAAAGAUAUGGGGCCUCCUGACUUGAAGAUUUGGGAUACAAUUCUCUAUCCUCCGACUUUGAAAUAUGACCUCUCGCACAGCAGUGCUGAGAGGUCAACUGAAGCCAUCGGCCCAUCAGGGCUCGUUUAAGAGAUUCUGAUUUCAUUUUGUUUUUGCAAUCUUAGUUUCGCUAAUAUAUAGAAAGAGUUACCGAGCGUCAACAAGAACAAUUCCUCUCCAAAGGUAACAAGUGGUGCUGAACAAAUUCUGAAAUUCUGUGGCCGCAAUAUAGGAAUGGAUCGGUAGCCAAACCAGAAAAAAUUCAUUUACCGUAGGCAGCAAAGCUAAAACGCGAGGGCCCAAUAUAUAUACAAACAUAAAAGUUGAGUACAAUCCGAAGAGUAAAGCAGAAGAAGAACCUGCAUAGGGAGCGCGUCCAUGUCGGCCCGAAGCGCGACGAAGGGCGGGCCGCCUGUGCCGACGGUGGCGACGACGCCGGUGACCGCGAAGGGAUGCCUGUAGGGGAUCCCCAUGGCAUCGAGCUCGCGCCGCACGAGCUCACUGGUGUCAAACUCCUCGUAGCCGAGCUCAGGGUUCUCGUGGAUCCGCCGGCGCACCCCCACCAUCCAGUCCAUGAACUCCGCCUCCUUGGCCCGUCGCAGAAGCCCCGCCGGGUCGUCUAGCGCCGCCGCCCAGGUCGCGGCGGCGGCGAUGAGGACGAGGGCGACGCGCAACAGCCCAGCAUAGGCGGCCAUGGCCAACAAUAGCAGUAAAUGAAUUCCGCCGUGACGUUCUCGCUUUCGGUUUGGACACUUGUACUGUACCACAGUAUCAAUCAGGCGAAACGCGCACGAGUGGCGUGGGCUAAGCUGAAGUGAACAAGCGUCUCUGUGACCUUGAGCUCGGUUUGGGAGGAUUCCGCUUUUUUACUUGCUCCUUGUUUCUCUGCCCUCUUUGAGUAGUCUUUUGUUUCGAGACGCUUUGGUUCAGUUGGCACGUUGGUUCGGCUGCAGUGGAGUGGUUUGGUUGCAGAGGUGGGUGGGCAUCUAGCUGGUUACCACAAAAACGUGCCCGUGGAAAAGCCUUGUUAUAGUUUGGGAAAAUCAUUUGUUUGCUUGAUGCUCAUGUAAGAUUUGUAUUGAAAUAACGCAGCCUCAUGUUUGCUUUCAUAUCUCGGUAAAUUUGACAAUUUUGACCUCAGAACGAAAUCAAUUCACAGAAUGAACUGCCCGUGAAACUAUUUCACUCCCCUGACCUUUUUGUGCAGCGCCCGCCACGCCGGCGCCACACCCUACGGUGCAGCGCCUAGCACGGGGGCGUUGCACUCCAGUCCACCGUGGCAGCCCUGGGCCCCGCACCCAGCAGUGCAGCGCCUACGAGCUAGGCGCCACACAUGUAAAGUGCAGCGCCUAGCCCUUAGGCGCUGCACUGUGACUUAGAUGCCAGCCGCCCGCUCCCCCUCCCCCCACCCCACCCAUUUGUUCCAGGAGGAGUUACAGAACAGGCGCGCCGGCGGCUUCCUCCUCUCCCCCUCUCAAUCCCCUCUCCCAAAUCCUUCAGAUCCGACUAUUUGGUCCGUGCAUUUCUUCAUCAAUCCAUCCUAGAAGGUACUCUCCUCCAAUCCCCUUCUUUCUAUCCAUAGAAAAUAUGGUAUUUUGAAGAUUUGGGGAAUCCUUGUUUGAUUUGAUUAGAUUUGAAUCUUGCAUGUAUUAGAAUUUUACAUGUAUUACAACCCUUGUUUGUUUGAUUUGUGGAACCCUAGUUUAGUUUAUUUUAUUGAAAAGAUAUGGUUGGAUACAUAGAUUGACAUGUUAUUUCUAUGGAAAAGUUAUUUGUAUGAAGUAGGCCUAGUUUAGUUUAUUUGUACUGAAAUUAUACUCGUAUUGAGAAGAAUGCUUUGGAUACAUAUGCUUUGAAUAUUGCAUCUAGUAGGCCUACUUUAGUUUUUUUGAAUUGAAAAGAUAAUCGUGUUGACAAGAAUGCUUUGUUGAAAUUGUUAGGAUGGUUUGGCUUCUUGAUGAUCACUGGGACAAACAACACCGGCCGUACGCUAUAUCGGUGGAGCAGCGGGUAAUACUGAAAGUGGCCGGUGUUAUGAAUUUCGUAUUUAUUUCAAACACAAAUGCCCCAUAUGUAAUGUUAUGAUUUGUUUGUUUGUAGGAGCUUGCACCUCUGAAGCUUCGGUCUCACGGGGUCACCCUUGGAUGGAUGCGCUAUGAUGAGCGGUACACACCGUAUGUAAGGGAGGCAGGACUUCUCCCUUUCAUUCAGUUGGUCCGCCGGUCGACGCCACCCAACAAUGCUGCAGCACUCACCGCGCUUAUUGAUCAUUGGAGGCCGGAGACACACACUUUCCAUCUUCGGACCGGGGAGAUGACCGUGAUGCUCCAGGAUAUUGCUAUGAUCACCGGUCUUCCUAUCGAUGGGAAUCCUUUAUGUAUAAACACCGAUUCUGAUAGGUGGCGUGCGCAGAUGCAUGCCCUUAUCGGUAUGGUUCCUCCGGAGCCUCGGGAACCAGAAGCAGAAGACAAGAAGAAGGAAAGAGUCGCAGCCGGCGCUACUUUCACGUGGAUAUCAUCGAACUUCAGUACUUGCCCUGAGGAUGCUAAUGAGGACAUGGUGAAGACAUAUGCUCGUGUCUACAUGUGGUACGUGAUAUCCAGGAUUAUGUUUGCUGAUGGCACAAGCAAGAAUGCUCCAUGGAUGUGGCUAAAGGCGUUGACCGUCUUCGAUAGCAAAUGGAGUUGGGGUUCGGCGACACUGGCUUACUUGUAUCGACAGGUAUGAAGUUGUUUCCUUUUCACUUCAUUGAUACAUUAUCAAUGCGCUCUUGCGGCAAAUUUGACCAUAUUCUCUUUUAUGUGCAGUUGGACGAAGCCUGUUGUAGGCACACUGGAGGUAUUGGUGGUUGUCUGCUCGCACUUUUCAUAUGGAGCUGGGAGUGUUUGCCGGUUGGACGACCGAAGACCGUGAAGUACGAGGAUUGGGACGACAAAGACGACCCACUACGGCUCCCCACUUGGGCUCACAAGUGGGAUGUGUUAAAUGAGACGACGGAUGAUCCCUCGGUCAUGUACAAGUUGUACAAGAGCGAGCUGGACGCGAUCACGCCUGAGCAGGUGAACCGACAUUGCAUAAGUGAUUAUCAUGCUUGUAUCGUAACUCGAUAUCAAUUUUGCAUUCUAUCCCAUUUUGCAGGUGGAAUGGGAGCCGUAUGGAAAAGGAGAGAGUUUUGGUAACCCUAUGGAGUUCAGGCUGAAUCCGAUGUGCACUAGGGAUAGGGAUCUCUGGCAUAUGCGGUGCCCACUGAUAUGCAACUGGGCGGUUGAGCUUCACCUGCCACAUCGGGUGUUCCGCCAGUUUGGUUUGUUCCAGCCACACCCGCCGGAGUGGGAGGACACGGACAAGUUGCUACACGCGUAAGAUAUAAUUAACCUUGAGCACUUAGCAGCUUCUCGACGGUUUCGAUGAUGCUAAUAUUCUGUUUCUAAUUUGCAGGUUGGAUAGGAAAAAGCAGCGGAAGAUCAAGGAUUGGGCCAACCAUCACAGGAAGUAUGUCGUACAGUUCGCGCUUAGUGUGGAGCAAGCAAGGGCUGGAAAACGAGCCCAGCUUCGUGAGCACUGCCCAGCUUGGAGGCGCCACAAUCUACAGUGCAGCGCCUAGCUGCUAGGCGUUGCACCGUACAGUGUGGGGCCCCCAGGCUAGGCGCUGCACAAACACUUAGCGAAAUUUUUGGCCCAAACUGGAGGCCUACCUUCUGUUGCUCUCUGGAUAGCUACAGACUUGUGCAGUGCCUAGCUUGGAGGCGCCACACUAUAUAGUGCAGCGCCUAGCUGCUAGGCGUUGCACUGUAUAGUGUGGCGCCCCCGGGCUAGGCGCUGCACAAACACUUAGCGAAAUUUUUGGCCCAAACUCGAGGCUUACCUUCUGUUGCUCUCUGGAUAGCUACAACAUUGUGCAGCGCCUAGCUUUGAGGCGCCACACUCUACAGUGCAGCGCCUAGCUGCUAGGCGUUGCACUGUACAGUGUGGCGCCCCCGGGCUAGGCGCUGCACAAACACUUAGCGAAAUUUUUGGCCCAAACUGGAGGCCUACCUUCUGUUGCUCUCUGGAUAGCUACAGACUUGUGCAGCGCCUAACUUGGAGGCACCACACUCUACAGUGCAGCACCUAGACGCUAGGCGUUGCACUGUACAGUGUGGCGCCCCCGGCUACGCGCUGCACAAACACUUAGCGGAAUUUUUGGCCCAAACUGGAGGCCUACCUUCUGUUGCUCUCUGGAUACCUACAGACUUGUGCAGCGCCUAGCCUGGAGGCGCCACACUGUACAGUGCAACGCCUAGCGUCUAGGGGCUGCAGUGUAUAGUGUGGCGCCUCCGCGCUAGGCGCCACAUAUGUCUGUAACUAGCCAUACCUUCUGUCUACAAACAUAGUAAGAUGAUGUGAAGUAGGAUUGAUACGUAGCAAGCAAACAACUGUGAAGAGAACAUAUGCACGAAGUACUUCACGACACAUAGUAGUUCAUAACACAUAGUACUUCACGACACAUAGUAGUUCUUACAACCAAAUCGAGGAGGAGAUAUAGUAGUUCACGACACAUAUUAGUUCUUACAACCAAAUCGAGGAGGAGACAUAGUAGUUCACGACACAUAUUAGUUCUUACAACCAAAUCGAGGAGGAGACAUAGUAGUUCACGACACAUAGUAGUUCACAACCAAAUCGAGGAGGAGACAUAGUAGUUCAUGACACAUAGGAGUUCACAACCAAAUCGAAGAGGAUGACAUAACUCUAUUGCGUAGAGCAAGGCCCCUUUCCCUUCUUCUUCUUCCUCUCUUCUUACUCUUCCUCCUCCCUUUUUCUUAUGAGGUGAGCCUCCUUAACCACCCUCUCCAUGAAUAUCUGAUUCUCCCUCUCUUCUUUUUCAGCUGCAAUUGCCCAAAGCUUCAUGGUUCUUUCUUCAAAAUCCUUUAGACGCUGGCGGGCCAGAGGCCAGUAGAUACCUGCUGGAUCUUUGUGCCCCGUUGUCGUCAUGGGCUGGGCCUGUUAAAAACAAAACCAAGCCUGGGCAGUCUACAGCCCAGUUGAAACUUGCUCGACCUGAAAAAACAAUAUACAUGCUCAAUAAACGAAAGAAUUCUGCAAGUACAGAAUGAUAACUGGGAUGCAACAGGGAUAUUGUUUUUUCAUCGUGAUAAUAAGUGCAUGCACUUGUUUCGAAAAAUUUGGAGAACUGGGAAUUAGAACGGCAGGUGCUUAUGCUACCCAUCAAAUAAAAAUCAGGUGCCUGAAAAUUCGUUUCGAAACAAAUGAUUCAGCUUUAUAUCCACGUCGACCCUCGGCAUGAUGGUUGGAAGCAAAUGCCAAGUUCAUACCAAAAGAUUGUUAACAACAAUACCAACUUGCGGACGACAAGGUAGUACAAGUACCAAUACCAAACUAACUUAUAAUCUUUUUACUCCUGGCCCUAGUGUUCGUCUGGUAGAAAAUCUUGCAGAGGACCAGCUCCCGCUCCUUCUCUUGCUCUAGAUCCCUAAGGUGGUACUGGUGCAUCACCCAGUUGGUCCUCUGCUGGUCGAAGUUCUUGUUGGUGUGCAGCACCAGAACCUUUUUGCUGCCCGUUUGCCGGCCGUUGACCAUCACCGGCAAGGUAUUGCCGGUGUUGUGCCACAUCGCGUGCAUGCCGCACUCCGACUGUAUCUUGCGACACAUCCACGUGCCCCUUUUGAAUGCCCUAGAAUUGCGCUGGAAGAAAUGCUUGCUUAGGCCACUCAGUGUGAUACCUGCAGUAUUGUCGAACACAGGUUUUAGUGUACGUAGUUGGCAUUUUCAUAACAUCUUUGGCAUGUUGCAGUCACUUGUUUCACUUUUUAUUAACUGUCAAAUUGUAAUUGCUUCACCAGGUCUGCGUCUAAAAAGAAAAAUAGAGCUAUAAACAAAGGAAUAUGUUUGUGCAAGUAGAAGGCCGAUCGGUGUCUUACCUGGAAGUUUCUCAGGAUGGGUGUAGCGUAUGUCGUGCUCGCUGUCGAUGGUUGGUAUGAACAAAUCGAUGAGAGGGUGAGAUCUCGCGCUGUCAGCACUCACUUUGGCCUCAAGGUGCUCGAUCAGCUCCUGAUCCGUGGGAUCGAACUUGACGCCAACCGGCAGCACCGGCCAAUCCUUCUUCGACUUGCAUCGGUUAAUUCCAGUUAUAUGGUACUCAAUGUAUACUAGUACCGCUACUGUACUACUUACUAGUCGUAUUUAGUGUCACAUUUUAACCGUAGGUUUAACUAACAAGUACGCACUUGAAGCCUAAGUGAUAUAUAUAUAUACAUAUAGAUAUACAUAUAUAUAUAUACCGCACAACAUCUCCAUCAUCAUUAUCAGUACAUCCUGCGCAGGUGAGUUAGGAUGCACUUGAUCCCAGAAAGGUAUCUAUCCUUCAAACCAGAGGAGUGCUUCAAACUAACAACACUACAUAAUAUCCAACAAAAGAGGGUCGUGCUACAGCAGCAAAAUACAUGGCUCAGUCUAGAUAUCAGUACGAAUCAAGUUGUGCAUAUUUGCUGUUAGCAUGAACCACAUCGCCGCAUGUCGGGUUUGCAAAAGCCAUCCAUCCCAUGGAAGCUUGAUGCCUUUCACACACUGAAGAUUAUCUGGCAACAAGCUGUGUCGAUGAAUCUCUGGAUAUGGUGAUUCAUGAAACCCAUGGUAUGAUGUGUAAACACAGUCCCCCCUUGCGAAUGGAAGUUGCACAACACGGUAAUCAUCGCCGGUGAUAUGAUCGAUGAUUGAUUGGAUGAUCGGAUAAUUGAGCCCGAGGAACAUGGAGUGGUUGCCGAGGCUGUAAACCCGCCUCUAGUUGAAUACGCCUGGCCCAACGGAGCUAGGAUCUUUCUCGAACACGAAGCAGCCAUAGCCAUCAAUGUCACGAACACCCCAUGCAUUGUACUGCAUGUGGUUUGAUGAAAUGGUUUGGUCAAUUUGGUACGUGCAAAUGAGCAUCAAAUGACCACCGUCAGCUGAACGAGCGAUAAACCACCACCCAUCGGCUGGUAUGAUUCCAGGUCCUGGAAUCAUGAAGGCCAACGCAUUUGCGUCUGCUGCAACAAUUCAAAUUGGAGACCAAAAGGACAAAAAUAAACAAUCAUGUUCAGAGUAUGUGUGGAAUUAAGAUUAUUAUAACAGUGACACAUAUCAUAGACAGAGAAUUGCAAUGCCGUGGUCAUAAUCAUACCCCAAGUUAAAAAAAAUAAACCAAUGACUUUCAUAUUCUAGCAAUAUAUCAUGGUUCAAACAUCAUGUAACAAUGAGAGGAAAACAGAUAUGACAGGGCCUACUCAUAUUCUACCAUAGCACUUACUACAGUUAUCAUAUCAACUCUAAGCAAUAACAUGCGUUGUUAUAAAAAUCCUGGAAAUGAGAGUAACAUAUAGCAAUCAUGAGGUUAUACUCAUAAUAUCUAUUCUAACAAUCAUUAGAUACCAAUUGUUCUCAUAUCAACUCUAACAAUAACAUGUGUGGUCAUAAAAAUCUAGGAAAUGAGAGGAACAUAUAGCAAUGAUGUGGUUAUAGACACACUAUAUAUUCUAAAUUUGUAACAAUGAACAUGCAGUCGUAUUCUUAAGGUAAAGAUGAGAUGAGAUAGAACAAUUACACGACGAUAGAUUCCACCAGUAUAGGCAGCCAAUCUAUGCGUCGACCGCAUAAACAAUGCCAUCAUGCACUAUAGCAUCAGACAGAAGUGUUGGGUGAAGAGGAUCGACGAUGAGCCAUAACCAUGUAUGGCGACCGGAUUCCAGAUAGACUAAUCCCAUGUUGAACACGGCAAUGAGCUUGUAAUCCAUGUAGUCUUCUGAUGGUGUGGGCACUUCGUAGAUUACAACCUUCAGCAAACCGAGGUCGAGCCAAAAGCUCGACGCGUCUCGAGCGUAGUAGGCAGGAGUGUCCGGCGGGCCGCGAGGCUCGAUGGCGGCGGUAUCCAAAGAUGGAAGGGUGAUCUCUCGCUGGGUGUAGAUAUCCACGAGACGCCACGAACUAUCGGAUUGGUGGAUGAGGACGAUCCAGUUGGCCUUCAUGCCCGCCCAAUAGUGGCCGCGCAUGAAGGACAGGUGGACGGGUAGUGGUAGCAUGUCGAGGGGCACCACGACAACCUCCGUAGGAUCAUCAAGUCGGUGUCUGGGCCACGUACGAGGAUCAGGCAUCAGCAAGCAGGGUGUCUUGAAAAGAGCCGGCCGGUUGCAGACGAGUAGACGGUACAAAGACACCGAGCAUGCGGCCAGACCGACGGUGUUGAGUAGGUCCAUACGAGUACAGAUCUUCUCCAAGAGAACAUCGGGGAGGGAAUUCCAAUCACGGCUCUACGUGUCAGUCGGUUCUGCCAUUGGGGUUUUCGGUGCCUGCGAGCCAGCAGGGAAGUGGAUUCGGGCGGGCGAGCGAAAAAGCUUCUCCUCGUGUGGCCGAGCAGUGAGCGGGGGGAUAUGGUACGCGCGAGCUACCAAGGAAGAUAGCGCGGGCGGGCGAGCAGUGAGCGGGGGGAAAUGGUGUGUGGCCGACGAUGGGGAAGAGAGGAGGAAGAACAAGAGAGGAGGAAGAAGAGUGAAAGACGGGGAAGAAAGUGCAUUAAAUCUCAAUUCUACUACUACUACCAGGAUAUACCGUCCUUCGGAGUGUAAAUAGUUACACCAAUGACAUGUGGGUCUACCACAAGAGGGCCCAUAUGUCAGUUAAUGGAGGACAGAAGCGUGCUCUACUGGCAAACAUGAUGGCAGUACCGGGUAAGGAUGAUUUAGUAACACCAACACGCUGGUUCAGCUUAUUAAUUAAGUGUCCCAUCUGCUGCAGCGUGUAUUUUCACUUCACUGCGAAGACUAGUUGAAUAGUUCUCUCUGACUGAGAUGGGGAAUAAUGGAUCGCGAAGACUUCCUUUCUACAUUAUCCCUAUGCCUCUACGCUCACUUCACUCAUUUUGCUCCGUACGUAGUCACUUGUUGAAAUCUCUAGAAAGACAAAUACUCCGUAUUUGGGAAUAGAGGGAGGAUUUUACUCCGUAUUUGGGAACAGAGGGAGGAUUUUACUCCGUAUUUGGGAACAGAGGAAGUAUCACCAUAUGGAGGGAACAGAGGAAGCUUGAAAUAUGAACAUGUCAAUGGGAGGGAGUAAGCCCCAUGCAUGCAUGCAUGCAUGCAACAUGCAACACUCACGCGUACACAUGGAUGCACGCAACACUCACGCACCCAUGCGGCACACAACACACGACGCAACACACACGCUCACGCUCAAAUGCUCAAUCUACUCCCUACGUCCGUGAAAGACUGUACAUUUAGAGAUUUACACAUUGACCAGGGCAUAAUUAAUGCCCAAAAGUAGCAGACUUAUGUGUGCAUGCAACCAUUGAGAGAAGAGAUUAAAUGAAGGUCGUUGCAUGCUGUAAUUAAGGAUAGACAUGUAGCCUAUACCUAGAGCGCAAGUUGGUGCAUUAGUCAAUCAAUAUCGAUUUAGAUUAAAGGCUAAAUGCAUUGGAAGUGUAGAUGUACUACACUCUUUGUUUUUUAGCUGAUUUCUUUGCUCUGCCAACUGACAGGUGGGACCCAGAAACCAGGUGACAAUUUAACCAGUCAACAAAGUGCCACGUCGACUAUGUGGCCGGUCAGUAGGGUGCAAUACGGUGCUCUACGAUGAGCUAGUGAUCAUAUAAUCACCGCAAAACUAUAUAUAGUGACCGUAAAAAGCGUAUUGUUACAUACGUUGACCGCCAGUGUAUUUUUCUCGUUUCAAAUUAAGCCAUAUUAACCGGAAAGGACGCAGUAUGAACUAGUACUAGUACUGCUUUGAUGUGUCCCGUCAACUCGCCGAACGAGGAGAAGCUUGCUUACUACGGCUCUCCCUCGCCCACGCGCGCGGUGGUUCGCAGGACGAGGAGAGGGUUUUGACUACAGCGCCCUCUCCCUCUCCCUCGCCCUCGCAGUGGACGUGCAGCAGUUCAAUCGGUGUCAGAUUGCCAGAAGCAUAAUGUACUGUAGUAUCAUCAUUGUUGGACCUUCCGAAGAGGUGAAGAGCCAAGUGCAAGGUUCACACGAGUACGAACUGUUGAACCUCCCGAAGAGGUAAAGAGCCAAGCGCAAGGUUUUAUAGGAGUUGUCGUCCUAGUAGGAGUGUACUACAACUAUAGCGAACGAUGCUACUGUAUGAUGCCGCCACGUCACGUAUAUCCAAAGUUGUGCCACCUUUUUUUCUCAAAGAGCGUGUUGGAGCUCGUGCAACAACCACACAAGUUGCGCAUACACACAACACAUUUUACUAGUUAUAAAUUCUAAAGGACAAAUGCCAGUAUGCCACACAAGUUCAUCUCCAAUUCAUGUGAUGGAUUUGUGCACGACUAGUCUACAUAUAUUCACAGCGCUACCGUUCACAAUUUACCGUACUCCACUUACACGUUAUAGAUGGGCUACAUGUCCUCCUCCAGGUUCCAGUCCCAGGUGUUCUUCAUGGAUGGCACGAUCCAUAGCGGUGGGCAACGGGAAUCAUUGUCGUAGCUUUCUAGUCCGGUUCCACACGAUGGAGACUCAUCCAAGCUGAAGCGGCAUAAAUCAGGGAUAGCGUGUCCCAGCAUGUCGUUCAUCCGACAGUGCACACUGAAGACACAACCAUGCUUCAUGAACGGCAGGCCUUCCAUGUCGUGCACGGAAGGUGGCAUCCGCUUCACAAUGGGGUAGUUGUCCCCAAUGAAAAGCGAGUACUCUCCAAGAGUGUUCCUCGGCACCCACGUAGCAUCACGGGGGUCGGACUCGGCGCCGUUCAUCUGGUACACGCGACAUCUCAGAUCUGGACACAUGAUGACGUACAUAGUCAAGGUCCAUGCAUAAUAAUGUUGUGCUCAAAUAUGGCGGUCAGUAAUACUGUGCAACAAAUAGUACUACUCCGGUAUAGAGUAAGUAAAAUAACCGGCUUAUUAUAUAUAGCCACUCUUGGCUACAUGGAUGAGAUAGUAAGACAUGGAAAAACAAAAAUGGUGGCAGCUAGUGGGUUCAAGUCUUCAAGGGCCUAGCUAGCUAUACGCGUCCUCCAAGGUAAAAAGUACUCCGACUAGUACGUAAGUAGAGUACUAGUACAACAAUGAAAGAGAAGGCGAGAGGGUUAAAAAAUGGAAUACCUGGGUAGAUGGUGACGGUCCGAUCGUGGUAGAUUGUGUGACCAUGUUGCACAUCAGUGGUACCAUGGGUAACGACUGCUAAGAUAGUUGAUCCCAAUAUGCCAAAGUCAGCUACAAGGUUCCAGGUUAGACCGAAUCGCGGGUGCAAAUGCACAUCCAGGAUCGGCGAUCUUAUUUUGAUCGCGGGAUGACAGGUCCCUGCAAAAUAAUGGAGUACCGUUAGGGAUGCAAAUGAUGGUUUGUGCAUUCCGUUUGUAAUCUCCCGUACCGUAGGAUGGCAACCAGAUGAAACAAGUCCCCUGGCUUGUCACCGCGAAGAUGCGGCCUAGAUGGCGCACGGCGUCUUCGAACGUGCAGGGGUACAAAUCUACCGCCGCCAACAUGCACCAGCCUCUGCCGUUACUGCCUCUUGCAUUGAUGGUAAUCCUUAUGUCGAACACCGCGAUGAGAUAGUAAUCGUCGUAGCCGCGUCGCUUUGUCGGCAGGUCCGCAAUUGCUAUCUUCUUCAAUCUCAUGUAGGCAUCAUCAUACGUAUUCAAGCCCAGCCAGUCCGGAAGGCCGAUCCCAAUGGUGGAGAAGGGGUCUACCGGAACGGCCGCACUGCUGUGGAUGUUGUGCAAAAUGAUGGUGGUAUCCGGCCGGAGGUAUGCAAGCCAAUCUUUGUUGGCACCGACCCAGACCUAUAUAUAAGACGGUGGGCAGCGGAGAAAGUACGAGAUGGAAAUGGAAUAACUAAGUACUACAUGAUCAAACUCCAUUACUGACCUGCUCAUCAGACAAAAUCCGACUACCUCUCAACGUCGGCAACUCUAGCGGAGUCAACGUGCAACCAUGGCCAGGGAGCGGUGGACUGUUCGAAGGAUUUUCCCAUAGAAGAAUCUUCUCCUCGAGGACGCAUGGAAGACCAACAAGCAUGGCCUUUUCCCAAGCCUUUUUAAGCACCGUCUUGAAAAAGUUGGUGCAGGAAGCACCGAGUCUUGGGGCGGUGAGGAUGUCGGAGCGGCGUGCGAUUUCUCUGAGAGGAUCGUCGUCCAAGGUCUCCUAGCCCCAACGAGGAGGAGAACCGCCUGGCGAAUCCAUGGGAGCAGCGACGAACUGCCUUCUCUUCAGGGGAGAGGAACUGGCGAGGAGGAGAUAAGAGCGUAGUAACCGCAGGGCCUCGUCCCUUCCAACUGUAGAUCGUUCCUUAGCGAUGGGGUGAGGCUAUUAUUUACUACUAGUACUAGCAUUAUGGGACGUUAUGGGAUUGCAUUAUACUGUAAAUAAUAGCACUAGUAAGAAAUUUUUGGCACUAGCUAGUAGUUUUUGGCGUGGAUUAAGAAAUUUUGGGUAUGUUUUUGCUAUUUUUUGUACACGCCAACUAGUGUCAAAAAACGUCUUACAUUAUGUGACGGAGGAGUACGUACUCGUACUGUAGCAGUACUAGUACUACUUUCUCAACUAGUAGUGCGAUGUACUGUACUUCUAGUAUAGUGCACCAGUUUUGAACUCUUGAAUAUCAGGGCCAAGGAGCUACAGUUGGAAGUGGAGGGUACUACUGUUCUCUAGAACCAUCGUUGUACUAUCAAUGCAGGGAAAGUACACCUGCGUAGUGGCCUAGUGGGUACUCUCGGUGCUCUAUUAAGCUGCUCCUCUCACGUAGCUGGCUUACUCAGCCGCUCCUCUCACGCACACACUAGCAGUCUGUUUAUCCGCGACGGUUACUGCGGGGGCAGAACAUUUGAGUUAUUUGAUACAGCGAGACUAGGCUUUUCGCUUCCAUUUGUGGAGGUGUAAUGGAUCUCGUCGAACUUUGUUAGUAGUUCCUUCUUUAUGAAUGAGAAGCGAAGCUUUUGCCUCCGUCAAACAAAAACACGCCAAGAGGAAUUUCUUUUAUAGUAGAGCCGAUAAUGGAGUGAAGUCCAUGCGUGCAACGCCACAAGCUACAGAGUAGUAGUAGAGCACAUUACGUACAGAGCCAUAUUGCACAGUUCCCAAUGCCCCGCCAGGCUUUUCCAGCUCCUCGGGCUUAAUUGGGAGGCGGUAGUUUAAAUAUGCUACUAGCUGAUGAGGAAGCUGCAAACGAGGUGCGGCUAGGGCGAGGACGCGAGCCACGAGAUGCUGGGAAGAAAACCCGUUCACAUGGCUAGGCUAUCCAGUGCACCAGAUUGUGGUGCCGCACGUCCGUUUGACUUCAAAACUCAAACUACCCGUGUAAAAUAUUGGCUCGUAGCGAAGUUACUAUUUAAAAAAAAGGCCUUCAUGCGUUCGGCCGGGAUCGAACCCACAAAAGAAGGUAUACACUCCUGCGACCACUAGUAGUACUCGUUGGAGUACAAUGAUACGUCUCCAGCGUAUCUAUAAUUUAUGAAGUAUUCAUGCUAUUAUAUUAUCCAUCUUGGAUGUUUUAUGGGCUUUACUAUGCACUUUUAUAUUAUUUUUGGGACUAACCUAUUGACCCAGAGCCCAGUGCCAGUUCCUGUUUUUCCCCUUGUUUCAGUGUUUCGAAGAAAAGGAAUAUCAAACGGAGUCGAAACGGAAUGAAACCUUCUAGAGAAGUUAUUUUUGGAAGGAAAGCAACCUGAUAGACUUGGAGUGCACGUCAUGAAAGAAACGAGGGAGCCACGAGGUAGGGGGCGCGCCCACCUCCCUAGGGCGCGCCCUCCACCCUUGUGGGCCCCUCGUGGCUCCCCUGACGUAUUUCUUCCGCCUAUAUAUAUAUCCAUAUACCCUAAAAACUUCGGGGAACAGAAUAGAUCGGGAGUUCCGCCGCCGCAAGCCUCUGUAAUCACCAAAAACCAAUCGGGACCCUGUUCCGGCACCCUGCCGGAGGGGGGAACCCUCACCAGUGGCCAUAUUCAUCAUCCCGGCGCCCUCCAUGACGAGGAGGGAGUAGUUCACCCUCGGGGCUGAGGGUAUGUACCAGUAGCUUGUUUGAUCUCUCUCUUGUGUUCUUGAUUCGGCACGAUCUUGAUGUAUCGCGAGCUUUGCUAUUAUAGUUGGAUCUUAUGUUUCUUCUCCCCCUCUACUCUCUUGUAAUGGAUUGAGUUUUCCCUUUGAAGUUAUCUUAUCGGAUUGAGUCUUUAAUGAUUUGAGAACACUUGAUGUAUGUCUUGCGUGGGAUAACCGUGGUGACAAUGGGUUAUUAUAUUGAUCCACUUGAUGUAUGUUUUGGUGAUCAACUUGCGGGUUCCGCCAUGAACCUAUGCAUAGGGGUUGGCACACGUUUUCGUCUUGACUCUCCGGUAGAAACUUUGGGGCACUCUUUGAGGUUCUAUGUGUUGGUUGAAUAGAUGAAUCUGAGAUUGUGUGAUGCAUAUCGUAUAAUCAUACCCACGGAUACUUGAGGUGACAUUGGAGUAUCUAGGUGACAUUAGGGUUUUGGUUGAUUUGUGUCUUAAGGUGUUAUUCUAGUACGAACUCUAGGGCUGUUUGUGACACUUAUAGGAAUAGCCCAACGGAUUGAUUGGAAUAAAUAACUUUGAGGUGGUUUCGUACCCUACCAUAAUCUCUUCGUUUGUUCUCUGCUAUUAGUGACUUUGGAGUGACUCUUUGUUGCAUGUUGAGGGAUAGUUAUAUGAUCCACUUAUGUUAUUAUUGUUGAGAGAACUUGCACUAGUGAAAGUAUGAACCCUAGGCCUUGUUUCAGCGCAUUGCAAUACCGUUUACUCUCACUUUUAUCAUUAGUUACCUUGCUGUUUUUAUAUUUUCAGAUUACAAAAACCUAUAUCUACCAUCCAUAUUGCACUUGUAUCACCAUCUCUUCGCCGAACUAGUGCACCUAUACAGUUUACCAUUGUAUUGGGUGUGUUGGGGACACAAGAGACUCUUUGUUAUUUGGUUGCAGGGUUGCUUGAGAGAGACCAUCUUCAUCCUACGCCUCCCACGAAUUGAUAAACCUUAGGUCAUCCACUUGAGGGAAAUUUGCUAUUGUCCUACAAACUUCUGCACUUGGAGGCCCAACAACGUCUACAAGGAGAAGGUUGCGUAGUAGACAUCAAGCUCUUUUCUGGCGCCGUUGCCGGGGAGGCUAGGUAAGCGGCACUCACACCCCGUCAACCAAGCUCUUUUCUGGCGCCGUUGCCGGGGAGGUGAGUGCUUGAAGGUAUAUCUUUAGAUCUUGCAAUCGAAUCUUUUUGUUUCUUGUUUUAUCACUAGUUUAGUUUAUAAAAGAAACCUACAAAAAAAUUGAAUUGAGAGUACCUCAUAUGCUUCAUCUUUUUAAUGUCUUCCGUGAAAAUAAGGAUUCCGAUAAUUGUGCUCAGUGCUAGAAGAAGAAUGCAUUAGAAUGUUUGGCACUAAAUAUUUGAAUGAUGAGCAUUAUUGCAAUGUUGUUAGUAUGAAUUCCUUGAAUAUCCAUGAUGCUAAUGAUAUGCAAAGCCACAAGCUUGGGGAAGCUAUGUUUGAUGAAGAUGAUAUUUUUUGUCCCCCAAGUUUUGAUGAGCAAAUUUAUUAUGAUGAAAGCAUGCCUCCUAUUUAUGAUGAUUAUUGUGAUGAAACUUAUGCUAUAAAGAGUAGUGAUGAUUAUAUUUAUAAAACUUGUCAUGAUUAUGAGUACCCUUUCUCUGAACAUUACUCUUUUAAUGUGGAAACAAUUUAUAGUAUUCAAGUCUCUUAUGAUACUCCCACUAUUCUGAAUGAGAAGAAUUUUGCUUAUGUGGAGAGUAAUAAAAUUUCUAUGCUAGUAGAUCAUGAAAAGAAUGCUUUAGGUNNNNNNNNNNNNNNNNNNNNNNNNNNNNNNNNNNNNNNNNNNNNNNNNNNNNNNNNNNNNNNNNNNNNNNNNNNNNNNNNNNNNNNNNNNNNNNNNNNNNUGCGGGGGCGACGGGCGCGUGGGCGGAGCUGCAGGGCGCGGUGAGCACACCGGGAAGGGCCGCGGUGCCCGGGCGCGCACGUCGGGCGUGGCUGGAGCGGCACGGGCGCGACCCGCGCGGGGCCACGGCGGGGUGAGGCUCGGGGUGUGGUGGCCACAUCGAGGCAGAGGGGGGAGAGAGGAGGACGAAUGGCGGCUCACCCCCGUUGUAGGGGAACACCGGCGAGGCUCGAUGGAGCCGUGCGAGGAGGAGACGGGGAUGCGAGCGACGACGUCGGGUCGGUGACGAGGCGAGGGCGGCUUCAGGCGGGCGUCGCACGAGGAAGUGGAGGGGCGAGGAGGACGACGGCGAGGCAGCGACGGGCGACGGCUGCGAGGCGGCGCCGGGGAAAGGGCGGCGGUGGUGCAGUCACCAUUGUCAGGGGGCGAACGCCCCGACCUAGAUCGGGUCGUGGGGUGGGGGAGAGGAGCGAGGGGAUCAGGAGGAGUGGGGGCUUCUGCUAGNNNNNNNNNNNNNNNNNNNNNNNNNNNNNNNNNNNNNNNNNNNNNNNNNNNNNNNNNNNNNNNNNNNNNNNNNNNNNNNNNNNNNNNNNNNNNNNNNNNNNNNNNNNNNNNNNNNNNNNNNNNNNNNNNNNNNNNNNNNNNNNNNNNNNNNNNNNGGGGGGAUAAGGGAGGACGGAGUGGGCCGGCCUGGUUGGUCCAGAGGCCAGCUGGGCUGAGGCCCACGGGGGCGGGGAGGCCGUGUUUUCUUUAUCCUUUGUUUUUUAUAUUGUUUUCUUUUACCAGCCUCCAUUUGCAUUUAUUUAAGCCACCAAAUUACUUUGCAAAUAUGUGGAGGUGGAAUAAACAAAUACUAGGAAAAAUUGAGCCCUUCCACAAAAGUUUGGGAGGCUUUUGAAAUAGUUUGCCACUUUUAUAAUUUAAAAAGGCAUUUAAUCUAUUGUUUUAGUCACUUCUUUAAUUGGUUUAGGCCAUUUAAACACCUUGCAAAAAUGUUGGUUCACCACCAAUAUUUGUUAUGGAUUAUUUGCUACCAGAUGAACAUUUUAGAUUUCAUGAGUGACAAAUAUGAAUUUUUGACUUUAGAUUGGAUUUGAAUUUGAAUUGUGAUUUGGAUCAAGUGAAGAUUAGCAACAGUAACAUGAUGACAUGGCACCAUUAGCAGAAGGUUACUGUAUCUUAAUUAUUCGGGCGUCACAGGAUCCAUGUAUGAAAACAAAGUAUGGACUUUGGUUGACUUGCCCGAUGAUCGGCAAGCCAUAAAGAAUAAAUGGAUCUUCAAGAGGAAGAUGGACGUUGUUGGUAGUGUUACUAUCUACAAAGCUCGACUUAUCGCAAAAGGUUUUUGACAAGUUCAAGGUGUUGACUACUAUGAGAUUUGCUCACUCGUAGCGAUGCUUAAGUCUGUCCGAAUCAUGUUAGCAAUUGCCACAUUUUAUGAAAUCUGGCAAAUGGAUGUCAAAACUGCAUUCCUUAAUGGAUUUCUUAAAGAAGAGUUGUAUAUGAUGCAACAAGAAGGUUUUGUCAAUCCUAAAAGUGCUAACAAAAUGCGCAAGCUCCAGCGAUCCAUCUAUGGACUGGUGCAAGCAUCUCGGAGUUGGAAUAUACGCUUUGAUGAUUUGAUCCAAGCAUAUAAGUUUAUACAGACUUGCGGCGAAGCCUGUAUUUACAAGAAAGUGAGUGGGAGCACUACAACAUUUCUGAUAAGUAUAUGUGAAUGACAUAUUGUUGAUCGGAAAUAAUGUAGAAUUUUCUGGAAAUCAUAAAGGAGUGUUUGAAAGGAGUUUUUCAAAGAAAGACCUCGGUGAAGAUGCUUACAUAUUGAGCAUCAAGAUCUAUAGAGAUAGAUCAAAACGCUUGAUAAAAAAUUUCAAUGAGUACAUACCUUGACAAUUUUUUUUGAAGUAGUUCAAAAUGGAACAGUCAAAGAAGGAGUUAUUGCCUGUGUUGCAAGGUGUGAAGUUGAUUAAAGACUCAAAACCCGACCACGGCAGAAAAUAGAAAGAGAAUGAAAAUCCAUUCCCUAUGCCUCAGUCAUAGGUUCUAUAAAGUAUGCUAUGCUGUGUACCAGACCUAUUAUGAACCUCACCAUGAGUUUGGCAAGAGGGUACAAUAGUGAUCCAGGAGUGGAUCACUGAACAGCGGUCAAAAUUAUCCUUAGUGGAAUAAGGAAAUGUUUCUCGGUUAUGGAGGUGACAAAGAGUUCGUCGUAAAGAGUUACGUUGAUGCAAGCUUUGACACCGAUCUGGAUGACUCUAAGUCUCGAUCUAGAUACAUAUUGAAAGUGGGAGCGAUUAGCUAGAGUAGCUCCGUGCAGAGCAUUGUAGACAUAGAAAAUUUGCAAAAUACAUACGAUUCUGAAUGUGACAAACCCAUUGACUAAACUUCUCUCACAAGCAAAACAUGAUCACACCUGAGUACUCUUUGGGUGUUAAUCACAUAGCGAUGUGAACUUGAUUAUUAACUCUAGUAAAACCCUUUGGGUAUUAGUCACAUGGCGAUGUGAACUAAUCACAUGGUGAUGUGAACUAUUGGUGUUAAAUCACAUGUCGAUGUGAACUAGAUUAUUGACUCUAGUGCAAGUGGGAGACUGAAGGAAAUAUGCCCUAGAGGCAAUAAUAAAGUUGUUAUUUAUAUUUCCUCAUAUCAUGACAAAUGUUUAUUAUUCAUGCUAGAAUUGUAUUAACCAGAAACUUAGUACAUGUGUGAAUACAUAGACAAAACAUAGUGUCCCUAGUAUGCCUCUACUUGACUAGCUCGUUAAUCAAAGAUGGUUAUGUCUCCUGACCAUAGAUAUGUGUUGUCAUUUGAUGAACGAGAUCACAUCAUUAGAGAAUGAUGUGAUGGACAAGACCCAUCCGUUAGCUUAGCAUUAUGACCGUUGAGUUUUAUUGCUAUUGCUUUCUUCAUGACUUAUACAUCUUCCUCUGACUAUGAGAUUAUGCAACUCCCGAAUACCGGAGGAACACCUUGUGUGCUAUCAAAUGUCACAACGUAACUGGGUGAUUAUAAAGAUGCUCUACAGGUGUCUCUGAAGGUGUUUGUUGGGUUGGCAUAGAUCGAGAUUAGGAUUUGUCACUCCAUGUAUCGGAGAGGUAUCUCUGGGCCCUCUCGGUAAUGCACAUCACUAUAAGCCUUGCAAGCAAUGUGACUAAUGAGUUAGUUGCGGGAUGAUGCAUUACGGAACGAGUAAAGAGACUUGCCGGUAAUGAGAUUGAACUAGGUAUGAUGAUACCGACGAUCGAAUUUCGGGCAAGUAACAUACCGAUGACAAAGGGAACAACGUAUGUUGUUAUGCGGUUUGACCGAUAAAGAUCUUCGUAGAAUAUGUAGGAGCCAAUAUGAGCAUCCAGGUUUCGCUAUUGGUUAUUGACCGGAGAUGUGUCUCGGUCAUGUCUACAUAGUUCUCAAACCCGUAGGGUCCGCACGCUUAACGUUCGAUCACGAUUUGUAUUAUGAGUUAUGUGAUUUGAUGUACCAAAGUUUGUUCGGAGUCCCGGAUGAGAUCACGGACAUGACGAGGAGUCUCGAAAUGGUCGAGAUGUAAAGAUCGAUAAAUUGGAAGGCUAUAUUCGGACAUCGGAAAGGUUCUGAGUGGUUCGGGUAUUUUUUGGAGUACCGGAGAGUUACGGGAAUUCGCCGAGGGAAGUAUUGGUCCUUCAUGGGCCUUAGUGGAAAGGAGAGAAGGGCCACAAGAGGAGGCCGCGUGCGCCCCCAUGGGCUGGUCCGAUUUGGACUAGGGAGGGGGCGACGCCCCCCUCUUUCCUUCUCCCUCCCCUACUCCUUCCCUCUCUCCCCUCUUGGAAAAGGAAGGGGACUCCAACUAGGAUUGGGAAUCCUAGUUAGACUCCCCCUAUAGGCGCGCCCCUCCUAGGCCGGCCUCCUCUUCCCCCCUCCUUUAUAUACGUGGGCAGGGGGCACCCCAAAGACACACAAGUUGAUCUUUAGCCAUGUGCGGUGCCCCCCUCCACAGUUUUACACCUCGGUCAUAUCGUCGUAGUGCUUAGGCGAAGCCCUGCACCGGUAACUUCAUCAUCACCGUCACCACGCCGUUGUGCUAACGAAACUCUCCCUCGGCCUCAGCUGGAUCAAGAGUUCGAGGGACGUCACCGAGCUGAACGUGUGCAAAUCGUGGAGGUGCCGUGCGUUCGGUACUUGGAUCGAUUGGAUCGCGAAGACGUUCGACUACAUCAACCGCGUUAUUAAACGCUUCCGCUUUCGGCCUACGAGGGUACGUGGACACACUCUCCCUGCUCGUUGCUAUGCCUCUCCUAUAUAGAUCUUGCGUGAUCGUAGGAUUUUUUUGAAAUACUACGUUCCCCAACAAUAUAUUCUUCGGGAUCAUUGCUUCCGGAGAACUUGUGCAUGGUUAACUUGAGCUUGCCGUAGCGGAGUUCUUCAUCAUAGUGGUGGUUUUGAUGUCGCUCUUGCGGUGGAGGAAGGUCUUCAAAUGCUCGUUCCUCGUGAUGUCGCCCUUGGCGUGGAGGAGGGUCUUGAGGCACUUGUUCCACUUGGUGUCGUUCUUGUCAAGGAGGACAAGGCAUAUGCGCUUGGUUUCGCCUUUCUUGUUGCUCUUUGCAUCUGGUGGCUUCUUCUUGUCGUGCUUGACGGAGUGCUUCCUCUUGUUCACGCACUUGGCGGUUGUGCUCGUCGACGGCUCUAGUGACCUCGCGGAGUGCGCGUUGUGCUUCACGUGCUUGUGCUUCACGCUCAAGUGCUUGUGCUUCACGACAUUCUUGUGCUUGUCGGAGUGCAUCACCGUCUUGAGGUGCUUGACGUUGCACUUGUGGAGGUAUUUUCUCUUGCUCCAUUGCUUCUUGCUCUUGUCGUCGCGCCCUAUCACGUGCUCGAACUCGAUCUUGUAAGCCAUUUCCAUGGAAUGGAUUUUCUUGAGCUUGGCGACCUUGGGGAUCAUCACGUCGAUGAAAGCGGGCUUGCGGAGGACUUGCAUCGUAAGAGGAGUAGUCCAAAGAUUGCCGACUUGAGCGGUGACUUGAGUGGCGCCGUCUUGGCGAAGAGGUUGAGGAAGACUCGCGUCUCACGAUCAUGUUGCGGAAUUCUUCCAUUUGUGUGGUGAACUUGGCGUCAAUGUAGUCGCGGUUCCUUGCUUUGACGAAGGUCGAUGGCGAGUUGCUCGAGGCGUUCACCCAAAGCUUCACUUUCUUGAUGUAGAGCUCGUUGGGCGAUGAAGAAGUGGUUCUUGGUGACGUAGUCAUGAUCAUCACCUUGCUCCUCGAAAAGUCGGUUCGCCAAAGAACUUGGCCUAUCCAUUUGGGAAAAAUACCAAGUUACCUUUUCCGAGGAUUGUUGAUGUAUCAAGUAUCGCUCAAUGUAAUGAGAGAACAAUACCAAGUUACCUUUUCUGAGGAUUGUGGAUGUAUCAAGUAUCGCUCAAUGAUGCCACAAUAGGAGAAUUGGUACCGGGUUUGUUUCUCACACCUAGACAAGUAAAGCUUAUGGAGUAGCUUGGUUAGGACGGUGGCACAAAAAUUUCAAGCAAAUGUUAGUCAAGAUAUCGAUGAGGUUGAGAAGGUUCACAAAAUUGCAAGUAAAGCAAAUAGAUCAAACCCAAGAAUAUCACUAGGAACACACACACGGACGAUAGAUGGGAUCCGCACAACCAAGGAGUGAGCUCAAAAUGUGUAACCACAGAAAAAUGCUCUUGUUGUACGGAUGCUAGAGAGACGCUAGCUCGAUUGCUUAAAUGGGCAAGAUACGCUUGUGCACCAAACUAUGAGAGAAACAUGUCAUCUUCAAUCCCAACUAUGCUAUGUAUAUGGGGACCAAGAUUAUAUAUCGAUGCAAAAUGGCUCAAUGCUAUUGCUUACAAGCUCUCUUUUCUCCUCUUUUGCUUAAAAGCUUUUCUUUCUUUCUCUUUUUUUCACUAUGCUUGAUGCUCGAGCCAAAUAUGAUAUGAGACAAGUAUGUAAGAUAUGCACAGAAGAGACUUAGGGCACAAUGAUGAUAGCAAGAUCACUACAGUGCACAAUAGCGUGGCCCGGCAAUUCUCAACUCGCUAGUCUCGAUGGGUAAGUGACACAAAAUGGCUCGGGUUAUCAAUGCAAACGCAAGUAAAUGAACUAAGUGUCGUCGAGGUUACCGUCCUUUCUUAUGGUUAGCAGUGUCAACGGUGAAGAUCGUUGGCGAAGACGACUCCGAGGCGAUGAUGAAUGGCGGUGAUGUCGAUGUCACAUGUUCCUAAGUAGCCGAAACACUUUAGGAAACAGAAACCGCAACUCAAAAUCGGUCAAAUGCGGAAGGUGGGUGCUUUUAUGGUGAAUUUUUUUUAUGGAGGAAAAUGGUGGUGGUAAAGAUAUAUGUGGAUGGGGGAUGUCAAGAGCUUCCAAACGAGCUAAAGAACACGAAAAAC